rnacentral:rRNA from 1 species
UGACCUACGGGAGGCAGCAGUGGGGAAUAUUGCGCAAUGGGCGAAAGCCUGACGCAGCGACGCCGCGUGAGGGACGAAGGUCUUCGGAUUGUAAACCUCUUUCAGCAGGGACGAAGCGAAAGUGACUGUACCUGCAGAAGAAGCACCGGCUAACUACGUGCCAGCAGCCGCGGUAAUACGUAGGGUGCAAGCGUUGUCCGGAUUUAUUGGGCGUAAAGAGCUCGUAGGCGGUUUGUCGCGUCGGAUGUGAAAACCCAAUGGCUUAACCUUGGGCCUGCAUUCGAUACGGGCAAACUAGAGUGUGGUAGGGGAAACUGGAACUCCUGGUGUAGCGGUGGAAUGCGCAGAUAUCAGGAAGAACACCGAUGGCGAAGGCAGGUUUCUGGGCCAUAACUGACGCUGAGGAGCGAAAGCGUGGGGAGCGAACAGGAUUAGAUACCCCAGUAGUC